rnacentral:lncRNA from 1 species
CGGCCGAAACUCCCAGACAGAGGCGAAACUCAUGCAUGUUCGGCGGCACCUUCGGCGGCCGAAAGUCCCAGACAGAGACGAAAGUCUCCUUUCGGGGGCAAGCUUCGGCAGCCGAAGGCUGCCUCCAAAAGCAUGUUCGGCGGCCGAAAGUUCCUUCGGCUGCCGAACCUGGUUUCGCCCAGAAUGGCAGAAACUCAGCUCCCCUAUGCAUUUAUGCCUCCAAAACUAACCAAUCAUGCAUAAACCUAUUCUACAACAUUCCCAAGCAUACACAAGCAAACAUACAAGUUCCUAGGGGCAUCAAACCAUCAAAAACCCCAACUACAACACACAA